GGUUACUGUUGGACCACUUUGGCAAAUAGCACGAUAAAAUCCAGUUAAAAGGUGAAAUCUGUUUGGCGUACUGGUGUGUCGUUUUAUUGUUGUUUAUACGAAAAGCCUUCUCACCGGAGGUGAUUUUUCAAGUGGUCUUGUCGGUCAUUUACGACCACAUUAUUAUUUUAAGAGGAAACGUUAUUUGAAGCCGGCUCUGUUGCAUCACAAUGGGGUGUCAUAAUGCUGAUUUAGUUAGCUUGUUUACUGUUAACUUUUAUUUGCAUGUUCGUCAGUUUAUUGAGUUGGUACCUCUCGAUAAUGAACUCGUCUCACAUGCCUCGAUGGGUUGCCAAUAAACGUAUUGCGAGAAAAAUGUAAAAGUCGGCAUCAGGUGGCGCAGAAAUUUUAUUAUAAAUUGCUGUUGUGCAACUUGGACCUGCAAGGGUGUAAAUAGGGAUCAUCAUGUCAAAACCUCGGAUCACAUUACAGCGCCAGUUGUUUGGGAUCGAUAAAUUGUGGUGUAAUACUCGCUUCCUAACUCUACACGCUGUUUUAGACACUGAUAUACACGAUCCCAAUAAAAUUAUAACAAUUAUCUUGA